AUGAUACACGCAACGAGUCCACCUUGUCCGAAAGGUCCGGGUAAUCUUGUAAAUGUGUAUCGU
rnacentral:misc_RNA from 1 species